GAUGAACGCUGGCGGCGUGCCUAAUACAUGCAAGUCGAGCGAACAGACGAGGAGCUUGCUCCUCUGACGUUAGCGGCGGACGGGUGAGUAACACGUGGAUAACCUACCUAUAAGACUGGGAUAACUUCGGGAAACCGGAGCUAAUACCGGAUAAUAUAUUGAACCGCAUGGUUCAAUAGUGAAAGACGGUUUUGCUGUCACUUAUAGAUGGAUCCGCGCCGCAUUAGCUAGUUGGUAAGGUAACGGCUUACCAAGGCAACGAUGCGUAGCCGACCUGAGAGGGGGACCGCCACCACGGGAACGGAGCCGGGGCCGAGCCCCCAGGGGGGGGCGGAAGGGGGAAUUCUCCAGGAAGGGGCAAAGCCCUGACGACGCAGCGCGGCGGGGUGGAUAAGGUUCUUGGGAUCGAAAAACUUUUUUAUGGGGAAAAAAAAAAGUUGAAAGAAAAAAGCCCCGUUUGGCGGAACACUAACAAAAAGCCCAGGAAAAGCUCGGCC
rnacentral:rRNA from 1 species